UUCAGAGGAACUUGUCCUAUAAUUGAUGAUCCACGAUUUAAUAAACUUAUUUUAUUAGUUUACAUAUCGCCGUAGAUUGAAUAUUUUAAUAGAAUAAUCAUAUUCAAGAUUUUUUAUUUAAAAAUAAAUCAGGUCAAGGUGUAGUUUAUAAAUAAGAAGAGAUGAGUUACAAUAAAAUAAUUUAAAUGGAUAAUUUUUUGAAAAAAUAAUUUAAAAGUGGAUUUGAUAGUAAUUUUAAUUAAAUUAUUAAAAUGAUUUUAGCUCUAAAAUAUGCACAUAUCGCCCGUCAUUUUCAUUAUAAAAUGAAACAAGUCGUAACAUAGUAGGUGUACUGGAAAGUGUACCUAGAACGACAAAUUAGAGCUUGUUUUAAGCAUUUUAGUUACAUUAAAAAGUUUAUUGUUAAAAUCAAUAUAGUUUGAAUUUAAAUAAUUAUUUAAAUUAAAAUUUUUAUUUAAUUUUAAUAAAAUAAUUUAAAUUUUUAUUAUAAUAUUGAAAAAAUUUAUUUAAUUAUAGUAAAUUAGUAUUGUGAAAGAAAUUAUUUAAAUUUAUAAAAGAAUAAUUUAUUUUUAAAAAACAUGGCCUUUUGAUAAUAAUUUAAGGUCUGACCUGCCCAAUGAAAAUUUUAAUGGCCGCGGUAUUUUGACUGUGCAAAGGUAGCAUAAUCAUUUGUUUUUUAAUUGAAAGCUGGAAUGAAAGGUUGAAUGAGAAAAUAACUGUCUCUAUUUAAUUUUAUUAUAAUUUUAUUUUUAAGUUAAAAAGCUUAAAUAAUUUUUGAAGACGAGAAGACCCUAUAGAGUUUAAUAUUUAUUAUAUUUAAAUAUUUUAGUAAUAAUUUUUUUAAAUUAAAUAAAUAUUUGAUUGGGGUGAUUAAAAAAUUUAAUAAACUUUUUUUUUAUUUAAUCAUUAAUUAAUGAAUAAUUGAUCCUUUAAAAGAUUAAAAGAUUAAAUUACCUUAGGGAUAACAGCGUAAUUUUUUUUUAGAGUUCAAAUCGAAAAAAAAGAUUGCGACCUCGAUGUUGGAUUAAAAUUAAUUUUUGGUGUAGAAGCUAAAUAUAUUGGGUCUGUUCGACCUUUAAAAUUUUACUUGAUCUGAGUUCAAACCGGUGUGAGCCAGGUUGGUUUCUAUCUCGAAAUUAAUAAAAUAUUUUAGUACGAAAGGAUCAAAUAUUUAAUUUAAAAUUUAUUUAUUGAAUUAUAUUAAUUAGUUAUUUUGGCAGAAUAGUGCAAUAGAAUUAGAAUCUUUAUAUGUAAAUUUUUACAAAUAACACUUGAAAUUAUAUCGAUUUAAGUUUAAUAAUAGUUUCUAGAUUAAUUUUAUCACUUUGUGUUAUGAUUAGAGUUGCAUUUUUAACUUUAUUAGAACGAAAAGUUUUAGGAUAUAUUC
rnacentral:rRNA from 1 species